UACGUAGGGUGCAAGCGUUAAUCGGAAUUACUGGGCGUAAAGCGUGCGCAGGCGGUUGUGCAAGACCGAUGUGAAAUCCCCGGGCUUAACCUGGGAAUGGCAUUGGUGACUGCACGGCUAGAGUGUGUCAGAGGGGGGUAGAAUUCCACGUGUAGCAGUGAAAUGCGUAGAGAUGUGGAGGAAUACCGAUGGCGAAGGCAGCCCCCUGGGAUAAUACUGACGCUCAUGCACGAAAGCGUGGGGAGCAAACAGG
rnacentral:rRNA from 1 species